GACGAACGCUGGCGGCAUGCCUAACACAUGCAAGUCGAACGAAACCUUCGGGUCUAUUGGCGCACGGGUGCGUAACGCGUGGGAACCUGCCCUUAGGUUCGGAAUAACUCCCAGAAAGGGGUGCUAAUACCGGAUAAUGUCUUCGGACCAAAGAUUUAUCGCCUUUGGAUGGGCCCGCGUUGGAUUAGCUAGUUGGUAGGGUAAAAGCCUACCAAGGGGACGAUCCAUAGCUGGUCUGAGAGGAUGAUCAGCAACACUGGGACUGAGACACGGCCCAGAAUCGUACGGGAGGCAGCAGUGGGGAAUAUAGGAAAAUGGGCGAAAGGAUGAUCCAGCAAUGACGGGUGAGUGAUGAAGGCAUUAGGGUUGUAAAGCUCUUUUAACCGGGAUGAUAAUGACAGUACCGGGAGAAUAAGCCCCGGCUAACUCCGUG
rnacentral:rRNA from 1 species